rnacentral:misc_RNA from 1 species
AAACCCCCGUUAUCGCUUGCAUCUUGGCGGAGCUGCGAAAAACGGGGGCCGUGACGAAUCACAAGAGAAGUCUAUCACAUGGAUCAUGCCAAACAACCCCACGCCGCCAAUAAG